GGGCUGUGAGGAGAUCCUCGCACGUUCUGUGGUUGGUGUUCAAUCACAUGCGUCUGAUCUAAUUGGAUGAUCUGUCUCGUGCAUCUGAGCUC